rnacentral:rRNA from 1 species
AUUGAACGCUGGCGGCAGGCCUAACACAUGCAAGUCGAGCGGAUGAAGGGAGCUUGCUCCUGGAUUCAGCGGCGGACGGGUGAGUAAUGCCUAGGAAUCUGCCUGGUAGUGGGGGAUAACGCCCGGAAACGGGCGCUAAUACCGCAUACGUCCUGAGGGAGAAAGUGGGGGAUCUUCGGACCUCACGCUAUCAGAUGAGCCUAGGUCGGAUUAGCUAGUUGGUGGGGUAAAGGCCUACCAAGGCGACGAUCCGUAACUGGUCUGAGAGGAUGAUCAGUCACACUGGAACUGAGACACGGUCCAGACUCCUACGGGAGGCAGCAGUGGGGAAUAUUGGACAAUGGGCGAAAGCCUGAUCCAGCCAUGCCGCGUGUGUGAAGAAGGUCUUCGGAUUGUAAAGCACUUUAAGUUGGGAGGAAGGGCAGUAAGUUAAUACCUUGCUGUUUUGACGUUACCAACAGAAUAAGCACCGGCUAACUUCGCG